rnacentral:rRNA from 2 species
GAUGUUGAUAGGCCGGGUGUGUAAGCGCAGCGAUGCGUUGAGCUAACCGGUACUAAUGAACCGUGAGGCUUAACCUUACAACGCCGAAG